GUAUAACAAUGCAUGAUAUCAUAUGAUAGGUUGUGUAGUAAAGAUUUGAAAUCUUACAGGAACUUAGAGAAAAAGGUUAUUACUGAAAGCUUCAGAAGAUAUAUUGGAAGAAAUGGAAACGGAAGGAACAUCUAUCAUUUGGAGAAUGGCUGAACAAAUUGUGGAGGGUGUGUCACCCAGAUCCUUCCAUGUCUUUUGAGCCAUUCAACAUAGAAAAGAACUCAAGAUAAUCUGCAACAAAGUAAAUACUUUUACAGGUUCCGUUAGAUUUUAAGAAGACAAAAUUCAUGCUUUUCCUCAAUACUAGAAUGCAGGGGAUUUUAAUCAUUCCUGUCUCAUGGAUAUCUUUUGCGGUUUGAUGAGGACUAUGGGACUCCAUCUUGAAUAAUGUUUUUAAAUACAUAAAAGAAAAUACAUAGUUUUAUAAAGGAAAUCAAUCAUGUUGGAGUGGAGUUAUAAAUGUUUUAAAAAAAAUCUGG